ensembl:lncRNA LINC01177 long intergenic non-protein coding RNA 1177
AGACACAAUGGGGUAUUUCCGGAGCUGCUUAUACUUCAGCAUGACACAGCCUGACAGGACAAGCCGGACCAACAUGCAGGGAAAGGUGACCACAAAGCCAGGUGUGUGAAGGGAAUGAGGAAGGGGAUUGGGCAGGUGCUCACUGAAGAAAGACAUCUCCACAGGGGCCAGCCCACCAACGAACACCUUCUUCCUGAUUCCAGCUGAGCCUUGGAAGCCAGAAAAGUGUAGGGGGCAGAGGAAAACUUCCCCUUUACUCUCUGAUUGUUCACUGAAAAUCAACAGACCAAAGGCAGAUUAAGAGAAGAAAAGGGAGAAAGCCCUAAGACCUGUGAAAAUGAAGAUGUGCUGUCUGACUCCCUCAGCCUGCCCACAGAAGCAAUUCAAAGGCCUCAAAUAAUUGUCUCAAAAGAAGCAAUUUGGAGAAAGUACAUUACAGGAGGAAAGAAAAUUGCCUAAUCCUCAUUCUGCUGAGUCCUCAAUUUGCAAAAGCUCGGAAUCAAAAUAAUGAGGAAAUAAACAUGAGGGCCGUUCCA